UACGGAGGGGGCUAGCGUUGUUCGGAAUUACUGGGCGUAAAGCGUACGUAGGCGGCCUUGUAAGUUAGAGGUGAAAGCCCAGGGCUCAACCCUGGAACUGCCUUUAAGACUGCAGAGCUUGAAUCACGGAGAGGUCAGUGGAAUUCCGAGUGUAGAGGUGAAAUUCGUAGAUAUUCGGAAGAACACCAGUGGCGAAGGCGGCUGACUGGACGUGUAUUGACGCUGAGGUACGAAAGCGUGGGGAGCAAACAGG
rnacentral:rRNA from 1 species